UACGUAGGGGGCAAGCGUUGUCCGGAUUUAUUGGGCGUAAAGAGCGUGUAGGCGGCCAAAUAGGUCGGUUGUGAAAACUGGAGGCUUAACCUCCAGACGUCGACCGAAACCAUCUGGCUAGAGUCCGGAAGAGGAGAGUGGAAUUCCUGGUGUAGCGGUGAAAUGUGCAGAUAUCAGGAAGAACACCCGUGGCGAAGGCGGCUCUCUGGGACGGUACUGACGCUGAGACGCGAAAGCGUGGGGAGCGAACAGG
rnacentral:rRNA from 1 species